rnacentral:rRNA from 2 species
AAUCCAUAGGUUAAUGAGGCGAACCGGGGGAACUGAAACAUCUAAGUACCCCGAGGAAAAGAAAUCAACCGAGAUUCCCCCAGUAGCGGCGAGCGAACGGGGAGGAGCCCAGAGCCUGAAUCAGCAUGUGUGUUAGUGGAAGCGUCUGGAAAGGCGCGCGAUACAGGGUGACAGCCCCGUACACAAAAGCGCAUGUGCUGUGAGCUCGAUGAGUAGGGCGGGACACGUGGUAUCCUGUCUGAAUAUGGGGGGACCAUCCUCCAAGGCUAAAUACUCCUGACUGACCGAUAGUGAACCAGUACCGUGAGGGAAAGGCGAAAAGAACCCCGGCGAGGGGAGUGAAAAAGAACCUGAAACCGUGUACGUACAAGCAGUGGGAGCCCCACCACCAAAGCAUUUGCUGUACCGCGUUGACGGAGCGAAGCGACGUCAAACCGAUAAAACAGCAGUGUAAAGUGAGCCGCAGGGCGCUUUGCGCGACAGCGCAAAGGCAGGC